AGAACGAACGCUGGCGGCAUGCCUAAUACAUGCAAGUCGAACGAACUCUUCGGAGUUAGUGGCGCACGGGUGCGUAACGCGUGGGAAUCUGCCCCUUGGUUCGGAAUAACAGUUGGAAACGACUGCUAAUACCGGAUGAUGACGAAAGUCCAAAGAUUUAUCGCCAAGGGAUGAGCCCGCGUAGGAUUAGCUAGUUGGUGAGGUAAAGGCUCACCAAGGCAACGAUCCUUAGCUGGUCUGAGAGGAUGAUCAGCCACACUGGGACUGAGACACGGCCCAGACUCCUACGGGAGGCAGCAGUGGGGAAUUUGGGACAAUGGGCGAAAGCCUGAUCCAGCCAUGCCGCGUGCAGGAUGAAGGCCUUCGGUUGUAAACUGCUUUUGUACGGAACGAAAGUCUCUUUCUAAUAAAGAGGAUCAUGACGUACCGUAAGAAUAAGACACCGGCUAACUACGUGCCAGCAGCCGC
rnacentral:rRNA from 1 species